rnacentral:rRNA from 1 species
UACGAAGGGUGCAAACGUUGCUCGGAAUUAUUGGGCGUAAAGAGCACGUAGGCGGCUUAGCAAGUCGGAAGUGAAAUCCCACGGCUCAACCAUGGAAGUGCUUUCGAAACUGCUGAGCUUGAGUACUUAAGAGGAUCGCGGAAUUCCCGGUGUAGAGGUGAAAUUCGUAGAUAUCGGGAGGAACACCAGUGGCGAAGGCGGCGAUCUGGGAAGAUACUGACGCUGAGGUGCGAAAGCGUGGGGAGCAAACAGG